GACGAACGCUGGCGGCGUGCUUAACACAUGCAAGUCGAACGGAAAGGCCCUGCUUUUGUGGGGUGCUCGAGUGGCGAACGGGUGAGUAACACGUGAGUAACCUGCCCUUGACUUUGGGAUAACUUCAGGAAACUGGGGCUAAUACCGGAUAGGAGCUCCUGCUGCAUGGUGGGGGGUGGAAAGUUUCGGCGGUUGGGGAUGGACUCGCGGCUUAUCAGCUUGUUGGUGGGGUAGUGGCUUACCAAGGCUUUGACGGGUAGCCGGCCUGAGAGGGUGACCGGCGACAUUGGGACUGCGAUACGGCCCAGACUCGUACGGGAGGCAGCAGUCGGAAAUAUUGCACAAUGGGCGGAAGCCUGAUGCAGCAACGCCGCGUGCGGGAUGACGGCCUUCGGGUUGUAAACCGCUUUCGCCUGUGACGAAGCGGGAGUGACGGUAAUGGGUGAAGAAGCACCGGCUAACUACGUG
rnacentral:rRNA from 1 species